CCUACGGGUGGCUGCAGUAGGGAAUAUUGCUCAAUGGGGGAAACCCUGAAGCAGCCAAGCCGCGUGGAGGAUGAAGGUUUUCGGAUUGUAAACUCCUUUUGUUAGAGAAGAUAAUGACGGUAUCUAACGAAUAAGCACCGGCUCAAUCCGUGCCAGCAGCCGCGGUAAUACGGAGGGAGUAAGCGUUAUUCGGAAUCACUGGGCGUAAAGAGCGCGUAGGCGGGAUAGCAAGUCAGAUGUGAACUACGAUGGCGUAACCAUAGAACUGCAUUUGAAACUGUUAUUCUAGAGUAUGGGAGAGGUAGGUGGAAGUCGUGGUGUAGGGGUAAAAUCCGUAGAGAUCAAGAGGAAUACUCAUUGCGAAGGCGACCUGCUAGAACAUAACUGACGCUGAUGCGCGAAAGCGUGGGGAGCAAACAGGAUUAGAUACCCCGGUAGUC
rnacentral:rRNA from 1 species